AGUGCGAAUGCUGACAUGAGUAACGACAAUGGGAGUGAAAAACUCCCACGCCGGAAGACCAAGGGUUCCUGCGCAACGCUAAUCGGCGCAGGGUGAGUCGGCCCCUAAGGCGAGACCGAAAGGUGUAGUCGAUGGGAAACGGGUUAAUAUUCCCGUACCUUGGAUAGCUGCGAUGGAGAGACGGAGAAGGCUAGGUGAGCCGGGCGACGGUUGUCCCGGUUUAAGCGAGUAGGGAGAGGACUUAGGCAAAUCCGGGUCCUUAAUCCUGAGACGUGACGACGACUGCUCAUUCGAGCGGGAAGUCAUUGAUGCCCUGCUUCCAGGAAAAUCUUCUAAGCUUCAGGCUAUUCGGGACCGUACCCCAAACCGACACAGGUGGUCAGGUAGAGAAUACCAAGGCGCUUGAGAGAACUCGGGUAAAGGAACUAGGCAAAAUGGUGCCGUAACUUCGGGAGAAGGCACGCCGGUGUGUACGUGAAACCCCUGCGGGUGGAGCGGAAGCCGGUCGAAGAUACCAGGCCCCUGCGACUGUUUAUUAAAAACACAGCACUGUGCUAACACGAAAGUGGACGUAUACGGUGUGACGCCUGCCCGGUGCCGGAAGGUUAAUUGAUGGGGUUAGCGCUUGCGCGAAGCUCUUGAUCGAAGCCCCGGUAAACGGCGGCCGUAACAAUAACGGUCCUAAGGUAGCGAAAUUCCUUGUCGGGUAAGUUCCGACCUGCACGAAUGGUGUAACCAUGGCCACGCUGUCUCCACCCGAGACUCAGUGAAAUUGAAAUCGCAGUGAAGAUGCUGUGUACCCGCACCUAGACGGAAAGACCCCGUGAACCUUUACUACAGCUUGGCACUGAACAUUGAACCUACAUGUGUAGGAUAGGUGGGAGGCUUUGAAGCACAGUCGCUAGAUUGUGUGGAGCCGUCCUUGAAAUACCACCCUUGUAUGUUUGAUGUUCUAACAUUGUUCCCUUAUCGGGAAUGUGGACAGUGUCUGGUGGGUAGUUUGACUGGGGCGGUCUCCUCCCAAAUAGUAACGGAGGAGCACGAAGGUUAGCUAAUCACGGUCGGACAUCGUGAGGUUAGUGCAAUGGCAUAAGCUAGCUUAACUGCGAGACAGACACGUCGAGCAGGUACGAAAGUAGGUCAUAGUGAUCCGGUGGUUCUGUAUGGAAGGGCCAUCGCUCAACGGAUAAAAGGUACUCCGGGGAUAACAGGCUGAUACCGCCCAAGAGUUCACAUCGACGGCGGUGUUUGGCACCUCGAUGUCGGCUCAUCACAUCCUGGGGCUGAAGCCGGUCCCAAGGGUAUGGCUGUUCGCCAUUUAAAGUGGUACGCGAGCUGGGUUUAGAACGUCGUGAGACAGUUCGGUCCCUAUCUGGUGUGGGCGUUGGAUGAUUGAUGGGAGCUGCUCCUAGUACGAGAGGACCGGAGUGGACGAACCGCUGGUGUUCGGGUUGUCAUGCCAAUGGCAUUGCCCGGUAGCUAUGUUCGGAACGGAUAACCGCUGAAAGCAUCUAAGCGGGAAGCCCCUUCCAAGAUGAGAUCUCCCUGGACCCUUGAGGUCCCUGAAGAGCCGUUCAAGACCAGGACGUUGAUAGGUCGGGUGUGUAAGCGCUGCGAGGCGUUGAGCUAACCGAUACUAAUUGCUCGUGCG
rnacentral:rRNA from 11 species